GGUCCGGGCGGGGCGGGGUGCGGCCAGCGGCCCGCUAGCCUGCCCUCGGCGUCCGCGGACAAUAAGCCCCAAGCGAGUGCCAGAGGCUUGCACCCGAGCUGCAGGGGCGGCACAGCCACUCCCCCUCGACGAGGUCGGGGAACGGCCUAAGCCGGCAGCACACCAGCCUUGCGGCCCGAAGGCCGGAGUCGGCAGCGGCGCCGGGAGCCGAUCCCCGGCCUCCUGCUCUGAGGAUCAACCAGGCUGCUGCUCUGGAAGCUGGAAGACAGGAAACUGAUGCAAGAGAUGAUAAAGGCCUAGAUCAGUGCAUGGGAAACAAACCCAGGAACUUCACAAGUGUUCUACCAUUGAGCUACCAGCCCUAUCCCAACUUCCAUCUCUCCAAGUAUGUCCAUGUGUUGAGAGCCACAGCCGAAGGGGCCCCAGCAAACUUCCAGCUGCCAGCAAUCCAGCUGCCGGCUGAUGAUU